rnacentral:rRNA from 1 species
AGUGAACGCUGGCGGUAGACCUAACACAUGCAAGUCGAACGGCAGCACAGUAAGAGCUUGCUCUUACGGGUGGCGAGUGGCGGACGGGUGAGGAAUACAUCGGAAUCUACUUUUUCGUGGGGGAUAACGUAGGGAAACUUACGCUAGUACCGCAUACGACCUACGGGUGAAAGCAGGGGAUCUUCGGACCUUGCGCGAUUGAAUGAGCCGAUGUCGGAUUAGCUAGUUGGCGGGGUAAAGGCCCACCAAGGCGACGAUCCGUAGCUGGUCUGAGAGGAUGAUCAGCCACACUGGAACUGAGACACGGUCCAGACUCCUACGGGAGGCAGCAGUGGGGAAUAUUGGACAAUGGGCGCAAGCCUGAUCCAGCCAUACCGCGUGGGUGAAGAAGGCCUUCGGGUUGUAAAGCCCUUUUGUUGGGAAAGAAAAGCAGCAGGUUAAUACCCCGCUGUUCUGACGGUACCCAAAGAAUAAGCACCGGCUAACUUCGUG